CAGCCCCUCCCCCUGCAGCAGGAUCAUGAGCAUCCUGCACACCACAGGCAGGGCCCUGCUGAGAUCACUGUCAGGCCAGGCUGGACCCAGAGCCUUGGAGCUGGGUGACAGCAUGUGCCUUGGAUAGGUACAGACCCCACCCCAGGGCACAGCUCCUCAGUGCUAGAGAAGAAUAAAAUUUCUUGGUUGCCAAGUGCACAUGGAGUGUUGGAAGAUCCAUGGGAUGCGAUUCAUCUCUGAAACCAUGACAGGUGAAUGGAGCAGCUAUUUGAGCACCAGGAAAGGAAAUGGUACACAGCAGUUUGGGAUGGCCCCAGCAGAUGAAAUAUAACAGAGUCAGUGUGAGACUCCUGGAUUUCCUCACUGUCCUCUGGCUGGGACUCCAGACAGCCCCAAACCUGAAGGGGCACAAAUCUGAAAACAAAAAGAAGUCCAGAAAGCCCUCUUGUUCAGGAUUGAAGAUAGGAAAAGAAACUUCUUUGGCUCAAAGUGAAGGCUCAGUCCCCUGCACAAGCAGGUGGUUCACACCUGUGUUCUCAUCUCUCAUACCAGCGCCUCUCCCUGGGUUCACACUGAUGUCCUAUGGAUGGAGACGGGGUUUCCUGCACCAGGUCACUCCACAGCCCCUGUAACCUGAAGCCCUGCAGACCAGCCUUGUUCAAUCACAAUAUGAUGUGAGCCUCAUGGGAAUCCCACUGUCUAGUCAUCGCAUUAUAAAUACAAAGAGAAGAAGUCAAUGAGUUUAAAUAAUAUAUUUUAUUUACCUAGCAUAUCAAAAAGUAUCAUUUUCAUAUAUAAUCUAGGUACAAUUAUUUAUGAUAUAUAUCAUAUACUUUGCAUAGCUAGUGUUAUUAUUUUUUGAAGAAUCUUGGAGAUUGUGUGGCUGAUGGAGAUGUGAAUGGGUUUCCUGUUGACA
rnacentral:lncRNA from 1 species